rnacentral:rRNA from 1 species
AGAGUUUGAUCCUGGCUCAGAACGAACGCUGGCGGCAGGCUUAACACAUGCAAGUUGAACGUGAUUUGUUGGGUGCUUGCACCGAGCAAUGAAAGUAGCGCACUGGUGAGUAACACGUGGGAACGUACCUUUUGGUGGGGAACAACAGUUGGAAACGACUGCUAAUACCGCAUAAGCCCUGAGGGGGAAAGAUUUAUCGCCGAAAGAACGGCCCGCGGAAGAUUAGGUAGUUGGUGGGGUAACGGCCUACCAAGCCGACGAUCUAUAGCUGGUCUGAGAGGACGAUCAGCCACAUUGGAACUGAGACACGGUCCAAACUCCUACGGGAGGCAGCAGUGAGGAAUAUUGGGCAAUGGAGGCAACUCUGACCCAGCCAUGCCGCGUGAGUGAAGAAGGUUUUCGGAUUGUAAAGCUCUUUCGGGUGUGACGAUGAUGACGGUAGCACCUAAAGAAGCCCCGGCUAACUUCGUGCCAGCAGCCGCGGUAAUACGAAGGGGGCAAGCGUUGUUCGGAAUUACUGGGCGUAAAGGGAGUGUAGGCGGUUAUGUAAGAUAGUGGUGAAAUCCCAGAGCUUAACUUUGGAAUUGCCAUUAUGACUAUGUGGCUAGAAUUACAGAGAGGAUAGUGGAAUACCCAGUGUAGAGGUGAAAUUCGUAGAUAUUGGGUAGAACACCAGUGGCGAAGGCGACUAUCUGGCUGUAUAUUGACGCUGAGGCUCGAAAGCAUGGGGAUCAAACAGGAUUAGAUACCCUGGUAGUCCAUGCUGUAAACGAUGAGUGCUUGUUGUCGGUAUUGUAUCGGUGACGAAGUUAACGCGUUAAGCACUCCGCCUGGGGAGUACGGUCGCAAGAUUAAAACUCAAAGGAAUUGACGGGGACCCGCACAAGCGGUGGAGCAUGUGGUUUAA